GAUGAACGCUGGCGGCGUGCCUAAUACAUGCAAGUCGAGCGAACAGAUAAGGAGCUUGCUCCUUUGACGUUAGCGGCGGACGGGUGAGUAACACGUGGGUAACCUACCUAUAAGACUGGGAUAACUUCGGGAAACCGGAGCUAAUACCGGAUAACAUUUGGAACCGCAUGGUUCUAAAGUGAAAGAUGGUUUUGCUAUCACUUAUAGAUGGACCCGCGCCGUAUUAGCUAGUUGGUAAGGUAACGGCUUACCAAGGCAACGAUACGUAGCCGACCUGAGAGGGGGCAGGCCCACAGGGGAACUGAGACACGUUCCGGACACCAGGGGGGGGAAGAGGUAGGGAUUCUCCCGCAAUGGGGGAAGCCCUGAGGAGACACCGCGGGGGGAGUAAGGAGGGUUUUGGGCUCAAAAAACUUUUUAAUUAGGAAAAAAAAAUGGUGAAAGAACGGGUGCACGUCUUGAGGUAACCAAAGCAGAAAGCCAGGGAAAGGACCGGC
rnacentral:rRNA from 1 species